rnacentral:rRNA from 1 species
UACGGAGGGUGCAAGCGUUAUCCGGAUUCACUGGGCUUAAAGGGUGCGUAGGUGGGUUGGUAAGUCAGUGGUGAAAUCUCCGAGCUUAACUUGGAAACUGCCAUUGAUACUAUCAGUCUUGAAUAUUGUGGAGGUCAGCGGAAUAUGUCAUGUAGCGGUGAAAUGCUUAGAUAUGACAUAGAACACCAAUUGCGAAGGCAGCUGGCUACGCAUAUAUUGACACUGAGGCACGAAAGCGUGGGGAGCAAACAGG